GGUAUGAAUCACACAGUUUUUCGAGUUUCUGGUGUCUAUUGACUUGUAUGAUUCACCUUUGGGAACAAGUUUAACACUUCCACACAUAACAAGUUCGCAAGUUUUUUAUUAGAAUGGAUUUCUAUAAAAUUUUCGUUAUCCAUUAUACUUCUGUUUGCCUAAAUGGUUACUUCAAGAUGAAGUCAUUCACCAGUUGGCUAAAUGAUUUUUAAUAUGAAGAUUAUUUAGUAAUAGUCAUUGUUACAACAUCUUAUUUCUUAAUGUGUUACACUGACGCAUCCAUAUCCAGCCUGCAGUUGCUUUAAAGCAUGCUAAAGAAGGAACAGAAAGCUCAGCUUUCUGGUUUGCUCUUGGAGGAAAACAGAGUUACACCAGCAAAAAAGUCAACAAUGACAUUAUCAGAGAACCACAUUUGUUUAGUUUCUAUUUUAAUAGAGGAAAGUUUCAGGUAGAGGAGGUGUACAACUUUUCCCAAGAUGAUUUGUUAACAGAAGACAUCGUCAUACUAGACACGCAUGAAGAAGUGUUUGUUUGGAUUGGCCAGUCUGUGGACCCAAAAGAAAAAUAAAAUGCUUUUGAAAUU